UCCAGACCUGGUUUGUCAUGGGCUGUUGCCAACAGAUGGGGACCCUCUGCCAGGGUAGGGGGAGACAAAGUAAUUGGGACGGACCCUUGGCUCAUGUUGGCUGUUGCUUUGUGAAGUACCACUAAAAACUGACAAAUUCCCGUUAAUGUGGAAACAGUAGGCUGAUUUUGGGUCACCAUCCAUCCUUCUGACAGUUGUGGAACUUCAGCUAAUCCCUGUGCAGGCUGGCCAGGCUACAUCUGUGUGUGCUUUGCUCUGCUGCUGCUGGGUGACAUCUGAGGACAAGUAGAAUUAUUUUUAUAAGCUGAUGAAUUCAGCCUGAGACUCCCUGUCAUGGUUCUCUGGUGAGCAAUGUUCCAGUGUCCUGCUGAAUGUUCUGUAAGGCCCUCAGCGCACUUUGCUGCGUGUGUGCCGUGCUGCUGGAAUCUGGGCUGUGUUCUGUCUCAGAGCUCCCAGCAGACCUGCACUUGUGCCCUGCAAUGUGUUUCACUCCAGAUACACAGUCAAUGUGUCUGUUUUCCACUGUCACCUUCCACUGUCACUUGUGGUGGAGUUUAUCACUCCAGGUAAAAGCCAAACCCAGAGGAGCAGAGGAAGCACCAACGUGGACAGGUCUCAGCUGCAGCAUGGCUCAGAGCAGCUGCUUUCAAGUAAAAACUUAUUCCUUAGCAUAGGCUAUGCUACACUGGUUCAAAUGCUCCAGUACUGAAGCAUGUGGCCUUAAUCUUCAGAAGUGGCAAAUCCUAUUUACUGUGUAAGCAUUUAAGCUAAUUAUAUCUCUGAUGUGAGAAACACGUGACAAACUGUUCACACUGUAUCCUUUAAAAGACAUUGAUGUCUCAGAUCCUCAUGAAAUAUUCUGUGCCUCAUUCCAUUCUUGGGGUAUUGUAUGUGUUCUGCAGUGUAUUUAGCUU